rnacentral:rRNA from 1 species
UACGAAGGGGGCUAGCGUUGCUCGGAAUCACUGGGCGUAAAGCGCACGUAGGCGGCUUUCUAAGUCAGGGGUGAAAUCCUGGAGCUCAACUCCAGAACUGCCUUUGAUACUGGAGAGCUAGAGUCCGGAAGAGGUGAGUGGAACUGCGAGUGUAGAGGUGAAAUUCGUAGAUAUUCGCAAGAACACCGGUGGCGAAGGCGGAUCUCUGGGCCUUACCUGACGCUGAGGCGCGAAAGCUAGGGGAGCGAACAGG